AAUUUCAUAUAUUAAUUAAUAUAUAAAUAAAUUUUAUAUAUUCAUUAAAUAAAAUUAAUUAAUAAAAUUAAUUAAUAAAUUUAAUUAAUAAAAUAUUUUUUUAUAGCGUGCCAGCAAAAGCGGUUAUACGAUUAAUUUAAAUUAUCAAAAAUAUAAAUUUAAAAAAAAUUAAUUUAUAGAAUUAUAAUAAAGUAAAAUUUUAUAUUAUUAUGUAUUAAAUAUAAUUAAUAUGUAGAAUAUAAUAAUUAAAUGGAUUAGAUACCCAUGUAAAUAAAUUUUAAAGUAUUAAAUUUUUAAAAUUAAACUAAAAAAAUAUUUGGCGGUAAAAUAGUUAAUUAAAGGGGCUUGAUUAAUUAUAGAAAGUACUCAUUAAAAUAAAAUUUAUUUAUUAAUUUAUUUAUCUCCGUGUAAUAUUUAUAUAAAUUUAAUUUUUAUAAAUUUAAUAAUUUUAUACAGGUCAAAAUUUAAUUUAAAAUAAAUAUAAUUUAGCCACAAAAAAUAAAAAAUAAUAAUUUAAGAAUUUAAAAGUAAAUUUAUUUUUAAAAAAAAUUAUAUUGAAAAAAAAAUUUUAUGUACAUAUUGCCCAUCACUUUCAUUAAUUAAAUGAAAUAAGUUGAAACAUAGUAAAAGUAUAAGAAUAUGCUUUUAAAA